ACAAUGCAAACUUUCAUGACUAGUUUUACAGAGAUGAGAAAUUAAU
rnacentral:guide_RNA from 1 species